rnacentral:rRNA from 1 species
AUUGAACGCUGGCGGCAGGCCUAACACAUGCAAGUCGAACGGUAACAGGAAGCAGCUUGCUGCUUCGCUGACGAGUGGCGGACGGGUGAGUAAUGUCUGGGAAACUGCCUGAUGGAGGGGGAUAACUACUGGAAACGGUAGCUAAUACCGCAUAACGUCGCAAGACCAAAGAGGGGGACCUUAGGGCCUCUUGCCAUCGGAUGUGCCCAGAUGGGAUUAGCUAGUAGGUGGGGUAACGGCUCACCUAGGCGACGAUCCCUAGCUGGUCUGAGAGGAUGACCAGCCACACUGGAACUGAGACACGGUCCAGACUCCUACGGGAGGCAGCAGUGGGGAAUACUGCACAAAGGGCGCAAGCCUGAUGCAGCCAUGCCGCGUGUAUGAAGAAGGCCUUCGGGUUGUAAAGUACUUUCAGCGGGGAGGAAGGGGGUAAAGUUAAUACCUUUGCUCAUUGACGUUACCCGCAGAAGAAGCACCGGCUAACUCCGUG